UACGAGAGGCCCAAACGUUAUUCGGAUUUACUGGGCUUAAAGAGUUCGUAGGCGGUUCGACAAGUGAGGUGUGAAAGCCCUCGGCUUAACCGAGGAAUUGCGCUUCAAACUGUCGGGCUCGAGGGAGAUAGAGGUGAGCGGAACUGAUGGUGGAGCGGUGAAAUGCGUUGAUAUCAUCAGGAACACCAGAGGCGAAGGCGGCUCACUGGGUCUCUUCUGACGCCGAGGAACGAAAGCUAGGGGAGCAAACGGG
rnacentral:rRNA from 1 species